GGAUCAGAAUCAGCUUUUUCAAACAAUCCCUGGCUGACUGGUGACCAUUCCUGCAAUGAUCUGGAUGAUUGACUGAUAGAUGCGUCCAACAUCAAGAAGACAACCUGUAGAGGGCCAGCUGUCAUGCUGGUUAUUGCAUGCUGUUCAGCUUGUGUUAAUGCUACUAAAUUUAAGGUAUCCAAACAGUGAGUGAAUGUCAGUGACAACCUUCAACACGAGGAUGCCAACCAAGGAUAGACGGGUCCUACAGUGUUCAGUCAGUUCAAACCAAACUCUCUACUGCAAAAUAGACCUCACAAAUUUUGUUUCAUUUUUUUUUAAAUUAAGCAGAAAAUACUUAAAGAAAUUCUAUUUAUUGACUGAAAACCAAUUUUUUGUUUAAUCCUGACAAUAUCUUUGAUUAUAUGGAUUAGGUGACACAAGUGUUAGCUUUUGCAUACUUGACAUUUUUAAAAUGUACUGAAAAUGUACCACAAUCAUUAAAUAAUUGCAGCUACAUGUACAACCUGACAGUUCAUUUUCAAUGAUUACAAUACAUACAUGUAUAUGUACCUGAAUGCUGUAUCCUGUGCAAGUUGGUUAAAAUAAUCAGCUAUAUAAUAGACUUGUGAAACAAACUGUUCACACCAUCAAUUUAUUAAUGAAAAAACAUCUGUGUGCUGUUAAAUUGUACUUGUAACAUUUGGUGCUCAUAUGUCUCUAAAAAAAUGAAAGAAUUGUUUGUACUAAGACUAGUAAGAGAGUCAACUGCAUUCAUUUUAAAAAAAGUUAACAAAUGUUUAAGGAUAUUCGGAAUUUAUUAAAGAAAAAUGUGUAUUGAAGAUAAAGCACUCUAAAAGCAUUCUUUCUUAUGUCUAAGUUUCCCUUCGUUGAAUUUUAGGUGUUUCAUUUUAAGUGCACCAUUUCAGGA
rnacentral:lncRNA from 1 species